CACGUAGGCACCAAGCGUUGUCCGGAUUUAUUGGGCGUAAAGAGCUCGUAGGCGGUUGAGUAAGUCGGGUGUGAAAACUCUGGGCUUAACCCAGAGCCGCCACCCGAUACUGCUCUGACUUGAGUUCGGUAGGGGAGCAGGGAAUUCCUAGUGUAGCGGUGAAAUGCGCAGAUAUCAGGAGGAACACCGGUGGCGAAGGCGCCACUCUGGGCCGAAACUGACGCUGAGGAGCGAAAGCGUGGGUAGCAAACAGG
rnacentral:rRNA from 1 species